UUUUAAUGAGAGUUUGAUCCUGGCUCAGGACGAACGCUGGCGGCGUGCCUAAUACAUGCAAGUAGAACGCUGAGGUUUGGUGUUUACACUAGACUGAUGAGUUGCGAACGGGUGAGUAACGCGUAGGUAACCUGCCUCAUAGCGGGGGAUAACUAUUGGAAACGAUAGCUAAUACC
rnacentral:rRNA from 1 species